UACGUAGGGCGCAAGCGUUGUCCGGAAUUAUUGGGCGUAAAGAGCUCGUAGGCGGUUUGUCGCGUCUGCUGUGAAAAACCUAAGGCUCAACCUUGGGCUUGCAGUGGGUACGGGCAGACUAGAGUUCGGUAGGGGAGACUGGAAUUCCUGGUGUAGCGGUGAAAUGCGCAGAUAUCAGGAGGAACACCGGUGGCGAAGGCGGGUCUCUGGGCCGAAACUGACGCUGAGGAGCGAAAGCGUGGGGAGCGAACAGG
rnacentral:rRNA from 1 species